AGAGUCCUGAGGUGUACGUGGGACACUCAUCGUUUUGAGCCAACAUUUUCACAUUGGGAGCCUGCAGUUUCAAUCUGGAUAACAAGCCUCUAAUGAAGUGGACGUUUGAAGGAUUGAACAGGGCACCCACCUGCCAAGAGCAGGCUUCAAAACUAAGUUCGUUUGACGGCACAUCGGGACUCUU
rnacentral:other from 1 species